GUAAGGAUUCGGCGCCCCAGAGCAGGCGGCCGUGAGGCGAAGGAUGGGGGUCCUGGUGGGGUUCCUGGUGGGGGUCCCCGGGAGACUGUAGCGCUCACUGCUUCCCAUGCCGGCCUGGGCCUUUCGUGGGAGCCGAGCCUUUUGCCACGCUCUAGAAAUUAGGUUGGUGAAUUCUGACUCCAAGUGAUACCCUUUAAGAAAAGAAAAAACAACAAAAAAACCCAGGAGUUCCCUUCGUGGUUCAGUGGUUAACGAAUCCGACUAGGAACCAUGAAGUUGCAGGUUCGAUCCCUGGCCUCGCUCAGUGGGUUAAGGAUCCGGCGUUGCCGUGAGCUGUGGUGUAGGUUGCAGACGCAGCUCGGAUCCCGCGUUGCUGUGUCUCUGGCGUAGGCCGGCGGCUACAGCUCGGAUUCGACCCCUAGCCUGGGAACCGCCAUAUGCUGCAGGUGCUGCCCUAGAAAAGACCAAAAAAAAAAAAGAAAAAAAAAGGUCUGACCUUUAUCCACAAUAAAGAGGAAAUGUGUUUUGGUUAAAACUUUACCCAGUUCUUGGAGGGACAAGAUAGGGGCAGGGGAUUAAGGGACACAACCUACUAUGUAUAAAAUAAAUAGGCUACAAGAAUGUAUUAUACGACACAGGAAAUAGGUUUUUUUAAUCUAUAAUUUUAAAUGAAGUAUAAGCUAUAAAAAUACUGAGUUACUAUGUUGUACAGCUAAUAUAAUAUUGUAAACAGCCGUACUUUAAUACAUUUUAAAGAAACAGUUUUUCAAAGAUGGGUUAUGGGUAGGGUUUCAUAUGUGACCUUACCCUGGUGUCUGGUCCUUGGGGAAGGAAAACUUUAAAGGAGAAAGGGCUAAAUGACCAGGGAAUGCCUGGGGAUGUUGCAGAGCCUGUAGUACUCAAACCAAAGCAUUGCCGCUGUAAUCGGUAUCCAGUAAUUAUCGUCAGAAGGACCGAUAGCAACACUGGAAAUCCUAGUUCUGAAUUCACACUGGGAAAAACAUGGACUCUGGAUUCUGGCUCAGGUGUAACAAUCUUUGUACAGUUGGGCCUCAGUUCCAUAAUCUAUAUAAUGGGUUUUGUUAAUUAAACCACCUCAUAGAGCUGUAAAGAUAAAUAGCUGUUAUUAGCUCUGUUAGGUUGAAUCGUGUGAAAUUGCCAACAUGUGGCCAUUUUGGCUUCAUCAUUCCCCCAAUGCUGCUUGCAUACUGCUUGGGGUUUUGCAUGGGAAGAAGGACCAGAUUAUCAUCUGUGUGGAGGGCAGAUGGCGGCAAAGGCAGAUGGGCCACACCUGCAACACAUGGAAAUUCCUAGGCUGGGGUAGAAUCAGAGCUACAGCUGCUGACCUGCACCACAGCCACAGCAACAUGGGAUCCAAGGCACAUCUUCGACCCACACCACAGCUCACAGCAAUGCCAAAUCCCCGACCCACUGAACAAGGCGAGGAAUUGAACCCAAAUCCUCAUGGAUACCAGUCAGAUUCAUUUUGGCUCCACCACAAUGGGAGUUUCCAAGAACUUUUCAACUUUAACUGAAGGACCCUUUUAAGCUGAUAGUGUUUUUUUAAAGUUUCCAUAAAGUUGGAUGAUAAAUAUUGUAAAUCUACUCCAAAGCGGUGAGGAACAUGGGGUCUUGACGUCUGAAUUACUGCUUCCUGGCUGUGCAGUCUGGGCAAGCGAACAGACCUUCCUGAGCCCCAGUUUCUCUCAUCUAUAAAAAGGAGACAGUGAUGGGUUGUUGUGAAAAUCACAUUGUAAAAUCACUGACGGAGCAAAAAGCAGCUGAUAAGUGUGUGUGUGUGUGUGUGUGUGUGUGUGUGUGUGUGUGUUUAAAGAAUAGUCUCUGAUGUCUACCUCCUCCUGGGGAGAUGAACCAGUUACUGAGCGUUCAUGAGCCCUCGCUGGAACAGCACCGUCACCAGGGGACAGGAGCAGAGGCCGCUUCUCCGUCAGGCGAGGGCGGCCUGACCCUGCACUGGAGGACCAGUGCUCUUCAGCUGAGCCGG
ensembl:lncRNA